rnacentral:other from 1 species
ACUUCCCUGCUCUGUUGGUGAUCUGCGAAGUAUUGAGCCAAACACUCAACAAUAGGGCGGUUCCCCUGCCUUCUUAAUGGAGCCUUUAUUGGUUCCCGGCGGAAGGCAAGACCUGCCCACCUAAUUUCGAUUAGGUUUGAUCAUUUCGCUGACACGGCAGAGUGGGGAUCUU